UACGUAGGUGGCAAGCGUUGUCCGGAUUUACUGGGCGUAAAGAGCGCGCAGGCGGUCGUUCAAGUCGCGUGUGAAAGCCCCCGGCUCAACUGGGGAGGGUCACGCGAUACUGAUCGACUCGAAGGCAGGAGAGGGUAGUGGAAUUCCCGGUGUAGUGGUGAAAUGCGUAGAUAUCGGGAGGAACACCAGUGGCGAAAGCGGACUUCUGGGUUGUUACUGACGCUGAGGUACGAAAGCGUGGGGAGCAAACGGG
rnacentral:rRNA from 1 species